rnacentral:rRNA from 1 species
GCCAGCAGCCGCGGUAAUACGGAGGGGGCAAGCGUUGUUCGGAAUUACUGGGCGUAAAGCGCACGUAGGCGGCUCGGAAAGUCAGAGGUGAAAGCCCGGGGCUCAACCCCGGAAUAGCCUUUGAAACUAUCGAGCUAGAGUCCAGGAGAGGUGAGCGGAAUUCCGAGUGUAGAGGUGAAAUUCGUAGAUAUUGGGAAGAACACCAGUGGCGAAGGCGGCUCACUGGUCCG